rnacentral:rRNA from 1 species
GUCGAACGAGAUUAUCCAGCUUGCUGGAUAUGAAAGUGGCGCACGGGUGCGUAACGCGUGAGCAACCUACCUCUGUCAGGGGGAUAGCCCGGCGAAAGUCGGAUUAACACCGCAUGACAUUAUUGAUGUGGCAUCACAUUAUAAUCAAAUAUUUAUAGGACAGAGAUGGGCUCGCGUGACAUUAGCUAGUUGGAGAGGUAACGGCUCACCAAGGCAACGAUGUCUAGGGGCUCUGAGAGGAGAAUCCCCCACACUGGUACUGAGACACGGACCAUACUCCUACGGGAGGCAGCAGUAAGGAAUAUUGGUCAAUGGAGGGAACUCUGAACCAGCCAUGCCGCGUGCAGGAUGACUGCCCUAUGGGUUGUAAACUGCUUUUGUCGGGGAAUAAACCUACGUUUGUAAACGUAGCUGAAUGUACCCGAAGAAUAAGGAUCGGCUAACUCCGUGCCAGCAGCCGCGGUAAUACGGAGGAUCCAAGCGUUAUCCGGAUUUAUUGGGUUUAAAGGGUGCGUAGGCGGUUCUUUAAGUCAGAGGUGAAAGACGGCAGCUUAACUGUCGCAGUGCCUUUGAUACUGAAGAACUUGAAUUAGGUUGAGGAAUGCGGAAUGAGACAAGUAGCGGUGAAAUGCAUAUAUAUGUCUCAGAACCCCGAUUGCGAAGGCAGCAUUCCAAGCCUUUAUUGACGCUGAUGCACGAAAGCGUGGGGGAUCGAACAGGAUUAGAUACCCUGGUAGUCCACGCCCUAAACGAUGAUAACUCGAUGUUGGCGAUAGACAGUCAGCGUCCCAGCGAAAGCGUUAAGUUAUCCACCUGGGGGAGUACGCCCGCAAGGGUGAAACUCAAAGGAAUUGACGGGGGGCCCGCACAAGCGGA